rnacentral:lncRNA from 1 species
GCCCCUCCCCCAGCCUGUCUUCCGCCUUGCAGUUUGAUCUCAGACUGCUGUGCUAGCAAUCAGCGAGACUCCGUGGGCGUAGGACCCUCCGAGCCAGGCAUCAGCUAUCAAAACUUAUGGGAAAUGGAAUUGAAGACAACUACUUCUAGAAUUGGUGCAUGGAAGCUUCUCAUAGGUGAUUAGCCACACUCUUCUUCUGUCAACCUGGUGCAGAAAAGCUUGAAGACCUUGGAAAUCACAUAUUGAUGAUGGAGGAGAUACAAGAAUGAAGGACCCUGGGUUCCUGAAUCAACACUCUAAGAAGAGACUCCUUGAAAUCAAGAGCACUCAUUUUGACAUUGCAAACGGAAAAAUUCACUUCUAUCAGGUUUGAACCAAUAUAUAGUUUAGGGUUUUUAAAAAAUAACUGUUAGCAUGACUUUAACUAAUACACAUGCCAUACAGGAUCAGACCUCUGUGACUUUGCUUUUACAGUCUGCUCUGUCUGGAGGGGAGUUUCAUCUUUGCCAUCCUUAAUGAUAUAGCAUAGACGCUAUGUCCUCCAGAAACUUCCUUGGCAC